UUUGAUUUUGGUAUUAUAAUUCAAGAGGUUGAGUGUAAUUGUAUUCCCAAUCAGAACUCCCAAAUGAUUUGAGCUUCAAGUUGUGAGGGAAAGUGAAAAUUAUGAUUUGGAAAACCACAUCUAUAAUUCGUGGUGUGGAAUUGGAAGCCUAUGUGGCACAUUCCAAGCCUACUCUUUGCCAACUCAAAAUCUCACUUUGACACUUCUCCCCAUCUUUACAAUCCAUUUUUACAAUUUUGCCAUCAACAAUAUUAUACCAAUGAAUUAUGAAAAUUACAAGUUAGGGUAAUUGGGUUAUUAUUGUGAUUAUAGAGGGUAAUUCCGGAAAAGGAAAACAAUUUUGCAAAAUGAAGAAAAUGGAAUGGAGAUGUUAUCUAUUGCCUUCGUAUCCGAAGAAAACUUAGCCGUUCCCUUUCAGAAACUCAAACUCUCCCUUUUCCCUUUUCCCUUUCCCUUCAAUAGAGCUAAGGAAGGGAAGACGAUAAUGGCGGCAGAGUCGGUUAGAGCAGCUUCUUCUGUUUGCAAUUUCAAUGGCUCUCAGAGAAGGCCUGCAGCUCCCACCCCUCUCUCUCGAACUCAAUUUCUCCUUCGUUCUUCUCGACCUUCCCGCUCCCAUUUCUUUGGUACCAACCUUCGUUUGACUUCAUCACCUUCUUCCAACCUAUGUAUUUCACGUCAACAGAGCAGACCCAAUCUAUCUGUCUUUGCCAUGGCCGCCGAAGGUAUCUAUUCUUUCUUCUUCUUCUAUCGCCAAUUUUCAUUUUUUAAGAUGAAGUCUCGAGUAUUUCUGUGCCGGUGUUCAAUGUGCGUUAUUUUUUAAUACCCUUUUGAAUUUGAUGCCUUAAAUUGUAAAACCCCUACAGAAUUGGAUGUGUUCUGAAGUAUUAGGAGUUAGGACUGUGUGAUGCCUCUUAUCUAUUGGUUUCAAUUCUAGCUUUUGAUCAUUUCCUGCAGGAGGGAGUUUCGUAAUGAUCCUUGUUUCUUCGAUAACAUUUAUGAAAUUUUGUUUACUUAUGAGAUUUUCUUAUAAAAUAUAUGUGGUCUUUGCCACAGGCUUACUGAAGUUUUUUGUGCAAGUAAUGAUUUUUUUUCAGUUUAAUGCUUUUCUUAGACAACAGCCUACCUUUUCACUAAUGCAAGUUAUAUUAACGAAGAAGAUGUGCUUGUUUUCAUCUUUUGUUUGCAGAUGGGAAGCGUUCGGUCCCUCUUGAAGACUACAGGAAUAUCGGAAUCAUGGCUCACAUUGAUGCCGGUAAGACGACUACAACCGAACGUAUUCUAUACUACACAGGAAGAAACUACAAGAUAGGGGAAGUGCACGAGGGAGCAGCAACAAUGGAUUGGAUGGAGCAAGAAAAAGAAAGAGGAAUUACGAUUACUUCUGCUGCAACUACCACAUUUUGGAACAAACACCGUAUAAAUAUUAUUGAUACUCCAGGUCAUGUCGAUUUUACUCUUGAGGUGGAGCGGGCACUUAGAGUAC
rnacentral:lncRNA from 1 species